rnacentral:rRNA from 1 species
UACGUAGGGUGCAAGCGUUGUCCGGAAUUAUUGGGCGUAAAGAGCUCGUAGGCGGUUUGUCGCGUCGGCUGUGAAAACCUGGGGCUCAACCCCGGGCCUGCAGCCGAUACGGGCAAACUAGAAUUCGGUAGGGGAGACUGGAAUUCCUGGUGUAGCGGUGAAAUGCGUAGAUAUCAGGAGGAACACCGGUGGUGUAAACGGCUUUCUGGACCAUAACUGACGCUGAGGCACGAAAGCGUGGGUAGCAAACAGG